rnacentral:rRNA from 1 species
AAGAAUCGAUGACGGUACCUGAUGAAUCAGCAUCGGCUAACUCCGUGCCAGCAGCCGCGGUAAUACGGAGGAUGCAAGCGUUAUCCGGAAUUAUUGGGCGUAAAGCGUCCGUAGGUGGUUUAUCAAGUCUGCUGUCAAAGCGUGCGGCUUAACCGCAUAAGGGCAGUGGAAACUGAUGAACUAGAGUGCGAUAGGGGUAACAGGAAUUCCCAGUGUAGCGGUGAAAUGCGUAGAUAUUGGGAAGAACACCAGCGGCGAAAGCGUGUUACUGGGUCUGCACUGACACUGAGGGACGAAAGCUAGGGGAGCGAAAGGGAUUAGAUACCCCUGUAGUCCUAGCCGUAAACGAUGACAACUAGGCGUGGUUCGUAUCGACCCGAGCCGUGCCGUAGCCAACGCGUUAAGUUGUCCGCCUGGGGAGUACGCACGCAAGUGUGAAACUCAAAGGAAUUGACGGGGGCCCGCACAAGCGGUGGAGUAUGUGGUUUAAUUCGAUGCAACGCGAAGAACCUUACCAAGGCUUGACAUCCUCGGAACCCUGAUGAAAGUUAGGGGUGCCUUCGGGAGCCGAGAGACAGGUGGUGCAUGGCUGUCGUCAGCUCGUGUCGUGAGAUGUUGGGUUAAGUCCCGCAACGAGCGCAACCCACGUUUUUAGUUGCCAGCAUUCAGUUGGGCACUCUAGAGAGACUGCCGGUGACAAACCGGAGGAAGGUGUGGAUGACGUCAAGUCAGCAUGCCCCAUACGCCUUGGGCUACACACGUACUACAAUGCGUCGGACAAAGAGCAGCCAGCCAGCGAUGGUGAGCCAAUCUCAU